UCUGUAAGUAGAGGUGCGCUGCCUAAGAGUAAGCGAAAGGAGGGGGAGCCCGCCGAUCUUCGCCAAAAGGAGUCAGCGCCGAAGCAGCCAGACCGUCGGGUCCGGCUGCUGGUGCCCUUCCGAACAGGAAUGGCACUGCCAUAGUCCUUAACCAACUAUGGAGCGCUACUGAAGGG
rfam:Laribacter hongkongensis HLHK9, complete genome.